rnacentral:tRNA from 1 species
AGCAGCAUGGCACAGUGGCAGCGCGCGGGGCUCAUAACCCCGAGGUCACUCGAUCGAAACGAGUUGCUGCUA